CGUUCCCGGGCCUUGUACACACCGCCCGUCACACCAUGGGAGUUGGUUUUACCUGAAGACGGUGCGCUAACCCGCAAGGGGGGAAACUGCCAAAGUUGUGGUUGGUGAUUGGGGUG
rnacentral:rRNA from 1 species